rnacentral:rRNA from 1 species
UCGAGCGAGUCUGCCUUGAAGAUCGGAGUGCUUGCACUCUGUGAAACAAGAUACAGGCUAGCGGCGGACGGGUGAGUAACACGUGGGUAACCUGCCCAAGAGAUCGGGAUAACACCUGGAAACAGAUGCUAAUACCGGAUAACAACAGAUGAUGCCUAUCAACUGUUUAAAAGAUGGUUCUGCUAUCACUCUUGGAUGGACCUGCGGUGCAUUAGCUAGUUGGUAGGGUAACGGCCUACCAAGGCGAUGAUGCAUAGCCGAGUUGAGAGACUGAUCGGCCACAUUGGGACUGAGACACGGCCCAAACUCCUACGGGAGGCAGCAGUAGGGAAUCUUCCACAAUGGACGCAAGUCUGAUGGAGCAACGCCGCGUGAGUGAAGAAGGGUUUCGGCUCGUAAAGCUCUGUUGUUGGUGAAGAAGGACAGGGGUAGUAACUGACCUUUGUUUGACGGUAAUCAAUUAGAAAGUCACGGCUAACUACGUGCCAGCAGCCGCGGUAAUACGUAGGUGGCAAGCGUUGUCCGGAUUUAUUGGGCGUAAAGCGAGUGCAGGCGGCUCGAUAAGUCUGAUGUGAAAGCCUUCGGCUCAACCGGAGAAUUGCAUCAGAAACUGUCGAGCUUGAGUACAGAAGAGGAGAGUGGAACUCCAUGUGUAGCGGUGAAAUGCGUAGAUUUAUGGAAGAACACCGGUGGC